rnacentral:rRNA from 1 species
AUGCAGGCUUCGAAGUUGCAGGUGCCGAUGAUGCCAGUACAGGUGACGCAACCGAGCUCAAGUGGAAGCUCGAUGAAGAUCUUGAUAGUUGUUUUGUUUCGUUUCCUGUUGAUCAGUAGUGGAGCUGAUGCGGAGCAUCCUACGAUCAUCCCCCUGUACACUUCGAAUACUCCCCAAGCCCCAAGAGGACAUACGAUGAGACCUCGACCAUACGCCAUUGGACACAAGGUGAGCUCACUCCUCUUCGAAACGUCACUUUCCACAUAUGAGACAUGGCUACUACCUCAUGCAUGGACCUUGCAUAUACUCAGGUACAACCGAGAUGACCAUGGAGGAUCCAAGGACCAAGGUCAAGCAUGGAAGAGGAGAAGGAAGAAGAAGCAAUGA